rnacentral:lncRNA from 10 species
CCGGGACCCCUCACUCAGUGCAGAGGGAAAUUGACACAGCCAUGAUGAGGCCUGGCUCACAAGAGCCAUAGUUACUGUAGGAGUUUCUGUGGCUAAAUAUGCUUAGCUAUUGGGCAAGGACAUGUGCUGGAUGUGUAUGCAGUCUUUGAAGCUGGAGAGGCCUGUGUUGGAAACUGUGCUCUGUCCCAUGCCAGUUCCCUGACCUUGGAGGAGGAAAUUGAAAGUGUGAAACACCAGUGGGAGGAAAAGGUUCCUGUAACAAAUGUGGUUAUCAAUGGGAAAGAAGCUUUCUAGAGCUUAUAUACGGGGCCGAGUCAUGCACACUUCAUCAUACUCACCAGGGACGACCCAGACCAUCAUUCUUCUCUGGUCUGCCACCUUCAUCCUCCACUUGCAGCCUCCUUUGCAGUGACCAUACAGGUGCAGAGCAUGAGCAGGAUGCACAGGGGUUUAUGUGGUCAGGCCUGCCUGGAGUUGGCACAUAGCAUUUCUGCUUCCAUUCUUAGGUCUGAAAUCCAGGUCACAGAGCCCUAACAUAACUACAAAGGAUCCUGAAAAGUGUUGUAUUCCAGUGUGCCUCGGAAAAGAAAAUAGGAUUAAUAAACUUUGAUUAGACUAAAUCAUUGA